UUUCAGUAACUUCUUUUGCCGUGACUUCAAGUUGCUUCUCUUUCGGCUCUUCAACAACAGGUGAUGUUUCAACAACCUCUUUUGCUUUCUCUGUUUGAUUCCUCUUCGCCCUUGACAUCUGCAGUAGGAGUCGUCUUCUCUGUCGAAUCCAAAGAGGGAGGAGAGAUAUUUCUUCACUGGUAAACAAUGGUGAAAGCAGUAGUUGGAGAAGAGGCUAGGCUCACCUCUGCUGAAGAUCGUUUCUCUCACUCCGCUAUUCCUGCUGAGGGAAGCUUAGCUCUGUUUUAGAUUGUGGAUUUGUGUUUGAGAGAGCAUGCUCGGUUCUGGGGACCAGAGAUGAUAAAAGGAAGCCAUCCAAGUCAAAAUCUUAGUCAUCGGAGUCGUAUUCUCUGUCGAUUGAUCGUGAUUGUAAACAAUCGCUGUAGUGCAUUCCUGGUUUAGACUUUGGUUUAGUUUUGGUUAUUUUGUAAACAAUUUUUAUAUAUACAAUCCCUUUAGACUGAAUA